UCGAUGUAUGACCAGACAUAGAGAGAACGAACAAGAGGAAAGAAAGUUCAUUUAAGUGGAGAAAGAUAUAAGAAGAUGUACUGUCCAUUCUGUGGUUCCAGCGUGACAUCUUCGCAUGGCUUUUGUGGUGUCUGUGGCAGAGACAUCACAUUUCUAAAAGAUGUGGCUAACAAAGUCCCUGAGGAGAUGCCCACCACUAGUGCGCAUCUAAGUGCACAGCCUAGCACCAGUGCAGCAGGAAGCUCAGCUGUAGAGUCCUUUCAGAAAUAUAGGGAAAUAAAAAAGAGGGAGAGACCUUUUUUACAAAGGGACGGCAUAACUCCAAAAAUAAACAGAAAUUGGUGAAGAUUUCUGUUGGAGUAAUGAGGAGGAUGGAUGGCUGCCUUAAACCUUUGAGAGGGAGGUCACUUCCCCUUAAUGUCGAACCUCAAUGGGCAUGUGAAGAACUGUUGGCUGCUGCCAUAAAAAAGCAGAAAGCCUUUAACCAGGACUUGGAAGAUGGUGCCCAUGUCUUGUUGUACCCUGAUGCGAGGGUGAUAACAAAUAUCCCCGGAACGGACACCCCUUUCACAGUACAGAUGUACAAAGAGGCCAUUGGAAAGCCCUACCAACGAAUUACGUUGUACAUCUGUACUCUUGAAGCCGUUGAAAACAGUUGUUACACUGGAACAACCUCUUCAAGUGACGAGGACAGUGUGGUUUUUGCAAAGUUGCCAUCUGGAGAGUCUUGCUGACACCGUGGUGUGGGACUUUCCAAAUGAACAGAGCACUCCCAGAAUGGACAACAGUUUGCCAGGACCUCUCAGGCACCCACAACCAGCGUCUGAUCGGUAGGAUGGAGAACCAACCCCAUUCCAGGAAGAGGUCCAGUCUGCCCCGGGUCAGAACACCUUCUAUAGGUAAACGAUGUUGACAGUUGCAUCGUGACACAGUUGUUUGCAACUACACAACUGUGUAUGCACUUAUCAUUAUUGACAGCCAGUCUGAGCCAGAAGAGGAAACGGAGCAAACUGCAGAGGAA